ensembl:lncRNA
AGGAAUGAGUAGAACUCUAGAUGACAACAUGGUUGUAGAUUGUGGGGAAGGGGAGAAGUCACACACAACUACGUGCAAACAUAGUACUAAGCCAUUAACAACACAAAAGGAAGAGGAAAAGGAGGAGGUGGGAGGAAACUAGAGAACCCAGAGGAAACCCACAUGGACAACGGGAGAGUAUGCAAAGAAACCAGAGACCCUGGAGCUGGGUUGGAGAGCUUCAGGCUGGAUUAGCUAACUGAAAGCAUCCGCCAGGGCCACUGCAACCAUGGUAACCACCAGCCCUCAUUGCUGGCACAUACACUAGAUGAGAAACAUUACAAUAGAUGAGUGCAAAUAACACACA